rnacentral:rRNA from 1 species
AACGUAGGACGCAAGCGUUAUCCGGAGUUACUGGGCGUAAAGGGCGGGCAGGCGGUCUGUGCAAGUGGGGUGUGAAAUCUCCCAGCUUAACUGGGAGAGGCCAUUCCAGACUGCCAGACUGGAGGGCAGUAGAGGUAGGCGGAAUUCCGGGUGGAGUGGUGAAAUGCGUAGAGAUCCGGAGGAACAUCUGUGGCGAAGGCGACUGCCUGGACCAGCACUGACACUGAGGCACGAAAGCGUGGGGAGCAAACAGG